rnacentral:rRNA from 1 species
CGGAUCACUAUUUUGAUCCUGGCUCAGAACGAACGCUGGCGGCAGGCCUAACACAUGCAAGUCGAGCGCGCCUUCGGGUGAGCGGCGGACGGGUUAGUAACGCGUGGGAACGUGCCCUUCUCUACGGAAUAGCCUCUGGAAACGGAGAGUAAUACCGUAUACGCCCUUUGGGGGAAAGAUUUAUCGGAGAAGGAUCGGCCCGCGUUAGAUUAGGUAGUUGGUGGGGUAACGGCCUACCAAGCCCACGAUCUAUAGCUGGUUUUAGAGGAUGAUCAGCAACACUGGGACUGAGACACGGCCCAGACUCCUACGGGAGGCAGCAGUGGGGAAUCUUAGACAAUGGGGGCAACCCUGAUCUAGCCAUGCCGCGUGAGUGAUGAAGGCCUUAGGGUCGUAAAGCUCUUUCGCCUGUGAUGAUAAUGACAGUAGCAGGUAAAGAAACCCCGGCUAACUCCGUGCCAGCAGCCGCGGUAAUACGGAGGGGGUUAGCGUUGUUCGGAAUUACUGGGCGUAAAGCGCGCGUAGGCGGAUUAGAAAGUUGGGGGUGGAAUCCCGGGGCUCAACCUCGGAACUGCCUCCAAAACUGCUAGUCUAGAGU